CUCAGUUUGUGUCUCACUAUUUGGUGUGUAUGUGUAACUCAUUGCAUAGUGUUACCACAAGCCCUGCUCCCUCUUUCUCUUGACCCUUAUUUUGAAUUUGAACAGUUGUUCUCCCUGCCAUCCAGAGGACACUGAUCAUGACAACAGGCAGGGCACAACAUCAAAAGGUCACUGAUCCAUCACAUGGCUAUAACCAAUCAAGGGUUUGCUUGGACAAUAUGAGGACGAACCUGGAGAGAAGCCAUGAAUGACAACUACAACAUGAGAAAGAGUACUUCUCUCUUCUGCCGAUCUAAUCAACGACUCGGGGCCAAAAAACUAACAUGCUGUACUUUAACAUCCUGCACUGCAUCACAAGUGGUCGCUUCAUAUUGUAUUGCAUCAGCUGUAAUAAAUGUUUUACCAGGGAUUCUAACACUUGUAUUUUUUAAAUGAGCAUAUUUUACUUUUCCUUUUAAAGUAAAGUACCACAGUCAGGCACUAUAUCUUCCCUGUACAGUUUCUGCUGCUGUAAGCUUCAUGCUAAGCACCUGCUGACUCACUGUGUGCCAAGUAAGGACAGCCUACGUCCCCAGGAGGCUGUUUUCAGAAGCUUUCACCGCUUUCCCUGUGGACAAUACUUUUACACCUUACACAGAUGUGACAAAAAAAAAGAAAUCAUAGAAAUUUCUUAACUAG